AACCACGCUAUCGAUGAAUGGAUUCACCCGCGAGAUAACGUGACUGUUUCACCUAGGGCGAGGAUAUGGCAUCCUAUUACCAGCCAUCACACGAAAUUAAUAGGAUGCCACGUCCUCAUCCUAUAUGGAACAACCACGUCAUCUCACGGCUGGUAAAUCCAUUCAUCGAUAGUGUGGUU
rfam:Oryza sativa Japonica Group DNA, chromosome 5, cultivar: Nipponbare, complete sequence.